AGCGAACGCUGGCGGCAGGCUUAACACAUGCAAGUCGAACGGGCGUAGCAAUACGUCAGUGGCAGACGGGUGAGUAACGCGUGGGAACGUACCUUUUGGUUCGGAACAACACAGGGAAACUUGUGCUAAUACCGGAUAAGCCCUUACGGGGAAAGAUUUAUCGCCGAAAGAUCGGCCCGCGUCUGAUUAGCUAGUUGGUGAGGUAAUGGCUCACCAAGGCGACGAUCAGUAGCUGGUCUGAGAGGAUGAUCAGCCACACUGGGACUGAGACACGGCCCAGACUCCUACGGGAGGCAGCAGUGGGGAAUAUUGGACAAUGGGGGCAACCCUGAUCCAGCCAUGCCGCGUGAGUGAUGAGGGCCCUAGGGUUGUAAAGCUCUUUUGUGCGGGAAGAUAAUGACGGUACCGCAAGAAUAAGCCCCGGCUAACUUCGUGCCAGCAGCCGCGGUAAAGUAGACG
rnacentral:rRNA from 1 species